ACCCAAAUGUUUCCUCUGUGGAAAAAUGGGUCACAUGGUUUGAAACUGUUAUUUAAAGGCACAAUUAUUCCAAGCUAAUAACAAACAGAGGUCUUGGAAAAACCAGUUGGGAUUGGAGUAUUUUCUCAGCUUCAGACCUGAGGCCAGGCCCCAGAGGCUGGUGGAGGGUUCUCCCACUCCCGUCUACUCUAUAUCAGUCCAGUUUUGUCUUUUUAGAAUCUUAGCAGUAGACAGAAAGCACACAAGAACAGCUCUAACCUUCAGAAGAGAUUGGGCUUGAAUUUUCAGGCUGAACCAAGAAGAGGAGCACCACACCAGACUGGGAUAGCAAGCUCCUUCCUCCUCCAACACCAGGAAGCCAGUCCCCCCCUGGCAGGAAGGAAGGAAGGAAGUGCUAGUCACAAGACCCAACUGCCACACCCGUCAGGAAGGAAGUGCUAGUCACAAGACCCAAUUGCCACUCCCAGUUGGCCCCUUCCCCCACAAACUGUCAGUCUUGUUUCCUUUCCACAGGCCUUACCACUCCUUUGCCUUAGAACCAAUACACAAUUUUGAUUCCAAGACAGAAGGGUUCCAUUCUGGCUGCAUUCAACAGGAAUCCAUUUGCUCUUUCUAAAUAUAGGCCCUCAGCUCUGAUUUCUGCCUGGGUUGUGGUCUGGUUCAGCUUUACAAUAAGAUCACACCCAAUAAAAUCUAAGAGAUAUGUAAAAAAGGUACUACUACUACUAUUACUACUACUACUACUACUACUACUACUACUACUACUACUACUACUACUAACUACUACUACUACUACUACUACUACUACUACUACUAUUCCUAUUAUAUAGGUAUCUCAGUGUAUAGAGCAUUGGACCUGGAAUCAGGAAGACCUGAAUUCAAAUUUGGCCUCAGAUACUAGCUGUGUGACCCUGGGCAAGUCAUUUAACCCUGUUUGCCUCAGUUUCCUCAUUCUAUCCUCAUUCCUCAUGAGCUGGAGAAGGACACAGCAAAACCCUCCAGAAUCUUUGCCCAGAAAACCCUAAAUGGAGUCAUGAAGAGUCAGUUACAAUAGAAAUGACAACAAAAGUUUCAUGAGACUGUGGUAGUUGAUUUUAUGUUGACUAAUUCUGGGGAAAGAUUUUGGGGAGCUUUUCAAUAGUCAGGGUAAGGCCUUACUGGAUGUAUCACAAAUGGAGAAAUUAAAGAUCAAAAAUUUAACAAUAAACAGCGAGAUCAUCUAAAGAAAGAUGGGGGA
rnacentral:lncRNA from 1 species